CCAAGGCGGAGGAAAAUUUGAUAACAGGGCAGAUGAAGGGAUCUUUGUAGGUUAUGUUACGUCGCAUGAAAAGGUCCACGCGACGUCCUUCAUUGUCUGACCGUCAAGGCCCAAGCACCGUUAGAGAAGCCCUCAAUAAACCUAAGGCCCAUCAUAAACCGAGUCUCAUUAGCUUGCAGGAACCUUGAAUCCUGCAAGUAUUUUGGGUUUAUAUCUGGUACUUAAACAAGUCAUUAGGUCUAUUGAGCGUGCUUAAAGAUUACGGAGAAAGCUGGUAUUUAUAACGGGAAAAACUGGUAAUUAUAUGAUAGGGAAAACUAGGCAUUUAUAGAAUAGAAAUGUCUGGAUUUUCCUACGAGUCAUGCCGAUGGGGUGUUUACAUCUCCCAUUUUCAAGCGUUAACGUCUUAUCCAAUGGGUAGCGCGGAUCCUUGUCCUCAUCUUUCCUAACUAAAAAUGUAAGCAACAAAUGCGCGUUCUUCGUUCAAAGGGCACACC
rnacentral:misc_RNA from 1 species